rnacentral:lncRNA from 1 species
CCAUGUUGUUCAAUAUUCCUUACAGAAGUUUUUGUAGGUGGGUCUGGCACUCAGGAGGUUGAGGUAGGAGGAUCGCCAUGAGUUCAAGACCAGCCUGGGCUACGCAAUGAGCUUAAGGCAGCCGAAACUACAUAACUACAUAGUCAAGACCCUGUCUCAGAAAAACAAGAAAACGUUGUUACUCUUUACUGAUGCUCCCGUAGGCAUGUACCUAGGUAAACUACAGAUCUCAGCUGUAUUGACUUACAACCAACUUGAGUUACAACCAGCCAUCAGGAACCGAUCGAGUUUAUAAGUCAAGGGUCCACUAUAUAAUGAAGCUCCCUCCUUCAUGCUAGCCC